rnacentral:rRNA from 1 species
CCGGAGAGGGAGCCCGAGAAACGGCUACCACAUCUAAGGAAGGCAGCAGGCGCGCAAAUUACCCAAUCACGACACGUGGAGGUAGUGACAAGAAAUAACAAAGCAAGCCAGUAUUCUGGUUUUGCUAUUGGAAUGAGUAGAAUUUAAAUCUCUUUACGACUAUCAAUUGGAGGGCAAGUCUGGUGCCAGCAGCCGCGGUAAUUCCAGCUCCAAUAGCGUAUAUUAAAGUUGUUGCGGUUAAAAAGCUCGUAGUUGGAUUUCUGUUGAGGACGGCCGGUCCGCACUAUGUGCGUGUAUCUGGUUCGGCCUCGGCAUCCUCUUGAGGAACGUUUCUGCGCUUGAUUGCGUGGAGCGGUAUUCAAGACUUUUACUUUGAGGAAAUUAGAGUGUUCACGGCAGGCAAGCGCCUUGAAUAUGUUAGCAUGGAAUAAUAAUAUAGGAUCUUGGUUCUAUUUGUUGGUUUCUAGGGCUAAGGUAAUGAUUAAUAGGGAUAAUUGGGGGCAUUUGUAUUAACGCGUCAGAGGUGGAAUUCUUGGAUUGCGUUACGACAAACUACUGCGAAAGCAUUUGCCAAGGAUGUUUUCAUUGAUCAAGAACGAAAGUAUGGGGAUCGAAGAUGAUUAGAUACCGUCGUAGUCUAUACCAUAAACUAUGCCGACUAGGGAUUGGAGGUCGUUCUUUUUAUGACUCCUUCAGCACCUUAUGAGAAGUCAAAGUCUUUGGGUUCCG